rnacentral:misc_RNA from 1 species
UCCGGUUUGUCACCGGCAGUCUCGCAUGAGUCCCCAACUAAAUGCUGGCAACAUACGACGGGGGUUGCGCUCGUUGCGGGACUUAACCCAACAUCUCACGACACGAGCUGACGACAGCCAUGCACCACCUGUACACCGACAAUAAAGGGGCCUCAUCUCUGAGGCUUUCCGGCGUAUGUCAAACCCAGGUAAGGUUCUUCGCGUUGCAUCGAAUUAAUCCGCAUGCUCCGCCGCUUGUGCGGGCCCCCGUCAGUUCCUUUGAGUUUUAGCCUUGCGGCCGUAGUCCCCAGACGGAGCACUUAUCGCGUUAGCUGCGGCACCGAGGGGGUCGAUACCCCCGACACCUAGUGCUCAUCGUUUACAGCGUGGACUAC